CUGCUGCCUCCCGUAGGAGUCUGGGCCGUGUCUCAGUCCCAGUGUGGGGGGCCUUCCUCUCAGAACCCCUACGCAUCGUCGCCACGGUGGGCCGUCACCCCGCCGUCUAGCUAAUGCGCCGCAUGCCCAUCCGCCACCGGAUCGCUCCUUUGGCCACCGGAGGAUGCCCUCCGGUGGCGUCACGGGGUAUUAGGCCGCGUUUCCGCGGGUUAUCCCCCUGUGGCGGCCAGGUUGCAUACGUGUUGCUCACCCGUGCGCCGGUCGG
rnacentral:rRNA from 1 species